GACGAACGCUGGCGGCGUGCUUAACACAUGCAAGUCGAACGGAAAGGCCCUGCUUUUGUGGGGUGCUCGAGUGGCGAACGGGUGAGUAACACGUGAGUAACCUGCCCUUGACUUUGGGAUAACUUCAGGAAACUGGGGCUAAUACCGGAUAGGAGCUCCUGCUGCAUGGUGGGGGUUGGAAAGUUUCGGCGGUUGGGGAUGGACUCGCGGCUUAUCAGCUUGUUGGUGGGGUAGUGGCUUACCAAGGCUUUGACGGGUAGCCGGCCUGAGAGGGUGACCGGCCACAUUGGGACUGGGAUACGGCCAAGCCUCCUACGGGAGGCAGCGGUGGGGAAUAUUGCACAAUGGGCGGAAGCCUGAUGCAGCAACGCGGCGUGCGGGAUGACGGCCUUCGGGUUGAAAACCGCUUUCGCCUGUGACGAAGCGUGAGUGCCGGAAAUGGUAAAGAAGCACCGGCUAACUACGU
rnacentral:rRNA from 1 species